rnacentral:rRNA from 1 species
GACGAACGCUGGCGGCGUGCUUAACACAUGCAAGUCGAACGGAAAGGCCCUGCUUUUGUGGGGUGCUCGAGUGGCGAACGGGUGAGUAACAUGUGAGUAACCUGCCCUUGACUUUGGGAUAACUUCAGGAAACUGGGGCUAAUACCGGAUAGGAGCUCCUGCUGCAUGGUGGGGGUUGGAAAGUUUCGGCGGUUGGGGAUGGACUCGCGGCUUAUCAGCUUGUGGGUGGGGUAGUGGCUUACCAAGGCUUUGACGGGUAGCCGGCCUGAGAGGGUGACCGGCCACAUUAGGACUGAGAUACGGCCCAGACUCCUACGGGAGGCAGCAGUGGGGAAUAUUGCACAAUGGGCGGAAGCCUGAUGCAGCAACGCCGCGUGCGGGAUGACGGCCUUCGGGUUGUAAACCGCUUUCGCCUGUGACGAAGCGUGAGUGACGGUAAUGGGUAAAGAAGCACCGGCUAACUACGUG